GACGAACGCUGGCGGCGUGCCUAAUACAUGCAAGUAGAACGCUGAAGGAGGAGCUUGCUUCUCUGGAUGAGUUGCGAACGGGUGAGUAACGCGUAGGUAACCUGCCUGGUAGUGGGGGAUAACUAUUGGAAACGAUAGCUAAUACCGCAUAAUAGCAGUUGUUGCAUGAUAACUGUUUGAAAGGUGCAAUUGCACCGCUACCAGAUGGACCUGCGUUGUAUUAGCUAGUUGGUGGGGUAACGGCUCACCAAGGCGACGAUACAUAGCCGACCUGAGAGGGUGAUCGGCCACACUGGGACUGAGACACGGCCCAGACUCCUACGGGAGGCAGCAGUAGGGAAUCUUCGGCAAUGGACGGAAGUCUGACCGAGCAACGCCGCGUGAGUGAAGAAGGUUUUCGGAUCGUAAAGCUCUGUUGUAAGAGAAGAACGAGUGUGAGAGUGGAAAGUUCACACUGUGACGGUAUCUGACCAGAAAGGGACGGCUAACUACGUG
rnacentral:rRNA from 1 species